GUUCUCCUGAAACCUCCAUGACUCUGAAGCUCACUGCCCCAAGGCAAAGGAGAACAGUCACCCGGGCUUUUGGCGCAGCACUUUUUGGUCAUCACCAACCAAAUUUUAUGUUGCCACUUGCCCGGCGAUAGAAUCGUCUCCAUCUCCCCGACACCACAAAAUCACGAAGAAGAAAGGUCUACAACAGUACUUCUGUGUUGUAUUAAGUACCAAUCAAAUAUUUCUUGAGGGAGUGUACCAGAACUGAUUAAAAUCUGCCAGCAUUUUCACCCAAAUGUGCCUUGAAGUCAAGUAAUAUGAAUGACCCAUGGAUUCCUUUAUUUUUAUUUUGGAUCAUUUUAUUUUCCUUAUGACCACAGGAGAAAUCUGUGGUCAGAACUUCCUCCUGGAGAACUUUAAUAACAAGAACUGAUUCAUCUUUUAUGAGAGAAGCUGUCAACAUGGCAGAAAGCCAGACGUGAAAAACUAGACCCCGGGACAUUACAGCAGUUUCCUACAACGGCCAUAACAAACUACCACACACUGGGUGGCUUAAAACAAUGGU